GACAGAGGGUGCAAACGUUGUUCGGAAUUACUGGGCGUAAAGCGUGUGUAGGCGGCCUUAUAAGUCGGAUGUGAAAGCCCAGGGCUCAACCCUGGAAGUGCACUCGAUACUGUAAGGCUCGAGUACUGGAGAGGUUGGUGGAAUUCUCGGUGUAGAGGUGAAAUUCGUAGAUAUCGAGAGGAACACCGGUGGCGAAGGCGGCCAACUGGACAGAUACUGACGCUGAGACACGAAGGCCAGGGGAGCAAACGGG
rnacentral:rRNA from 1 species